rnacentral:rRNA from 1 species
UGGGGAAUAUUGCACAAUGGGCGAAAGCCUGAUGCAGCAACGCCGCGUGAGUGAUGAAGGUCUUCGGAUUGUAAAGCUCUGUCUUUUGGGACGAUAAUGACGGUACCAAAGGAGGAAGCCACGGCUAACUACGUGCCAGCAGCCGCGGUAAUACGUAGGUGGCGAGCGUUGUCCGGAUUUACUGGGCGUAAAGGGUGCGUAGGCGGAUGUUUAAGUGAAAUGUGAAAUACCCGGGCUUAACUUGGGUGCUGCAUUUCAAACUGGAUAUCUAGAGUGCAGGAGAGGAGAAUGGAAUUCCUAGUGUAGCGGUGAAAUGCGUAGAGAUUAGGAAGAACACCAGUGGCGAAGGCGAUUCUCUGGACUGUAACUGACGCUGAGGCACGAAAGCGUGGGUAGCAAACAGGAUUAGAUACCCUGGUAGUCCACGCCGUAAACGAUGAGUACUAGGUGUAGGAGGUAUCGACCCCUUCUGUGCCGCAGUAAACACAUUAAGUACUCCGCCUGGGAAGUACGAUCGCAAGAUUAAAACUCUAAAGUGAA